GACGAACGCUGGCGGCGUGCCUAAUACAUGCAAGUUGAGCGCUGAAGGUUGGUACUUGUACCAACUGGAUGAGCAGCGAACGGGUGAGUAACGCGUGGGGAAUCUGCCUUUGAGCGGGGGACAACAUUUGGAAACGAAUGCUAAUACCGCAUAAAAACUUUAAACACAAGUUUUAAGUUUGAAAGAUGCAAUUGCAUCACUCAAAGAUGAUCCCGCGUUGUAUUAGCUAGUUGGUGAGGUAAAGGCUCACCAAGGCGAUGAUACAUAGCCGACCUGAGAGGGUGAUCGGCCACAUUGGGACUGAGACACGGCCCAAACUCCUAAGGGAGGCAGCAGUAGGGAAUCUUCGGCAAUGGACGAAAGUCUGGCCGAGCAACGCCGCGGGAGGUAAGGAAGGUUUCGGAUCGGAAAACUCUGUUGGUAGAGGAGAACGUUGGUGAGAGUGAAAAGCUCAUCAAGUGACGGUAACUACCCAGAAAGGGACGGCUAACUACGUG
rnacentral:rRNA from 1 species